rnacentral:lncRNA from 1 species
UUUGAUCGAAAACUGUAGGAGAAAUCCCUACAGUAACUUUAUUGAAAAAAAACAAAAGAAAUACAAGAACUGUACAGCAGGGAACAACACCCAAGAGAAACUAAACCUUACCUAUUCAUAUACAACAAGGACUCAAGCCAAGCAGCAAGCCGAGGGGCCAGCCCCGGCUUAAACCUAUGACCUAGCAAAGAAAGAUCAUGCACAAACGCCGCACGCCAUGAACGGAAAGAAGGUAUAAUUCCUUCGAAAAUGAGGCCGUUCCGUUGCUUCCAAAUAUGCCAACAUGCGAAAGCAGUCACCUCCUACAGAAAAGGCUGCCCGAAAGACCUCAUCGCUCUCUGCACCACAACAUCAACCGAAGGCCCCGAAUGCCAAUCAAUCUGAAGGAAGGACCAGAUCCUCCGGUUGAAAUUGCAAGUAAAAAACAGAUGUUGCC